AACGAACGCUGGCGGCAUGCCUAACACAUGCAAGUCGAACGAGAUCUUCGGAUCUAGUGGCGCACGGGUGCGUAACGCGUGGGAAUCUGCCCUUGGGUGCGGAAUAACUCAGAGAAAUUUGAGCUAAUACCGCAUAAUGUCUUCGGACCAAAGAUUUAUCGCCCAAGGAUGAGCCCGCGUAGGAUUAGCUAGUUGGUGGGGUAAUGGCCUACCAAGGCGACGAUCCUUAGCUGGUCUGAGAGGAUGAUCAGCCACACUGGGACUGAGACACGGCCCAGACUCCUACGGGAGGCAGCAGUGGGGAAUAUUGGACAAUGGGCGAAAGCCUGAUCCAGCAAUGCCGCGUGAGCGAUGAAGGCCUUAGGGUUGUAAAGCUCUUUUACCAGGGAUGAUAAUGACAGUACCUGGAGAAUAAGCUCCGGCUAACUCCGUGCCAGCCGCCGCCGUAACAC
rnacentral:rRNA from 1 species